rnacentral:tRNA from 1 species
GGUUUUAUAAUUUAUAUUAAAAUAUUAAAUUGCAAAUUUAAAAAUACAUUUUUUGUUGAAACUU